GACUUACGUUGAAAAGUGAGCGGAUGAACUGAGGGUAGCGGAGAAAUUCCAAUCGAACCUGGAGAUAGCUGGUUCUCUCCGAAAUAGCUUUAGGGCUAGCCUCAAGUGAUGAUUAUUGGAGGUAGAGCACUGUUUGGACGAGGGGCCCCUCUCGGGUUACCGAAUUCAGACAAACUCCGAAUGCCAAUUAAUUUAACUUGGGAGUCAGAACAUGGGUGAUAAGGUCCGUGUUCGAAAGGGAAACAGCCCAGACCACCAGCUAAGGUCCCAAAAUAUAUGUUAAGUGGAAAAGGAUGUGGCGUUGCCCAGACAACUAGGAUGUUGGCUUAGAAGCAGCCAUCAUUUAAAGAGUGCGUAAUAGCUCACUAGUCGAGUGACACUGCGCCGAAAAUGUACCGGGGCUAAACAUAUUACCGAAGCUGUGGAUUGUCCUUUGGACAAUGGUAGGAGAGCGUUCUAAGGGCGUUGAAGCAUGAUCGUAAGGACAUGUGGAGCGCUUAGAAGUGAGAAUGCCGGUGUGAGUAGCGAAAGACGGGUGAGAAUCCCGUCCACCGAUUGACUAAGGUUUCCAGAGGAAGGCUCGUCCGCUCUGGGUUAGUCGGGUCCUAAGCUGAGGCCGACAGGCGUAGGCGAUGGAUAACAGGUUGAUAUUCCUGUACCACCUAUAAUCGUUUUAAUCGAUGGGGGGACGCAGUAGGAUAGGCGAAGCGUGCGAUUGGAUUGCACGUCUAAGCAGUAAGGCUGAGUAUUAGGCAAAUCCGGUACUCGUUAAGGCUGAGCUGUGAUGGGGAGAAGACAUUGAGUCUUCGAGUCGUUGAUUUCACACUGCCGAGAAAAGCCUCUAGAUAGAAAAUAGGUGCCCGUACCGCAAACCGACACAGGUAGUCAAGAUGAGAAUUCUAAGGUGAGCGAGCGAACUCUCGUUAAGGAACUCGGCAAAAUGACCCCGUAACUUCGGGAGAAGGGGUGCUCUUUAGGGUUAACGCCCAGAAGAGCCGCAGUGAAUAGGCCCAAGCGACUGUUUAUCAAAAACACAGGUCUCUGCUAAACCGUAAGGUGAUGUAUAGGGGCUGACGCCUGCCCGGUGCUGGAAGGUUAAGAGGAGUGGUUAGCUUCUGCGAAGCUACGAAUCGAAGCCCCAGUAAACGGCGGCCGUAACUAUAACGGUCCUAAGGUAGCGAAAUUCCUUGUCGGGUAAGUUCCGACCCGCACGAAAGGCGUAACGAUUUGGGCACUGUCUCAACGAGAGACUCGGUGAAAUCAUAGUACCUGUGAAGAUGCAGGUUACCCGCGACAGGACGGAAAGACCCCGUGGAGCUUUACUGUAGCCUGAUAUUGAAAUUCGGCACAGCUUGUACAGGAUAGGUAGGAGCCUUUGAAACGUGAGCGCUAGCUUACGUGGAGGCGCUGGUGGGAUACUACCCUAGCUGUGUUGGCUUUCUAACCCGCACCACUUAUCGUGGUGGGAGACAGUGUCAGGCGGGCAGUUUGACUGGGGCGGUCGCCUCCUAAAAGGUAACGGAGGCGCUCAAAGGUUCCCUCAGAAUGGUUGGAAAUCAUUCAUAGAGUGUAAAGGCAUAAGGGAGCUUGACUGCGAGACCUACAAGUCGAGCAGGGUCGAAAGACGGACUUAGUGAUCCGGUGGUUCCGCAUGGAAGGGCCAUCGCUCAACGGAUAAAAGCUACCCCGGGGAUAACAGGCUUAUCUCCCCCAAGAGUUCACAUCGACGGGGAGGUUUGGCACCUCGAUGUCGGCUCAUCGCAUCCUGGGGCUGUAGUCGGUCCCAAGGGUUGGGCUGUUCGCCCAUUAAAGCGGUACGCGAGCUGGGUUCAGAACGUCGUGAGACAGUUCGGUCCCUAUCCGUCGUGGGCGUAGGAAAUUUGAGAGGAGCUGUCCUUAGUACGAGAGGACCGGGAUGGACAUACCUCUGGUGUACCAGUUGUCGUGCCAACGGCAUAGCUGGGUAGCUAUGUGUGGACGGGAUAAGUGCUGAAAGCAUCUAAGCAUGAAGCCCCCCUCAAGAUGAGAUUUCCCAACUUCGGUUAUAAGAUCCCUCAAAGAUGAUGAGGUUAAUAGGUUCGAGGUGGAAGCAUGGUGACAUGUGGAGCUGACGAAUACUAAUCGAUCGAAGACUUAAUCAA
rnacentral:rRNA from 1 species